ACUCCAGGUCGGACUAGCAUAGUAUAAGUACAAUGCUCCCUGGCUGCCUGCUUUAGCUUGGGGAUAAAGUUCAGAAACCCUGAAAGUGUGGACAGCCGACAGCCUCCUGGCAUCACUGGAAAGGAUCUGAAUGACAGAUGGUGAAAGACAGUGGUUGGAAAGUUCCAAUUAAGCCAAAUUAUGGGUGAACUUUCCAUCACAUGCCAACAGAUUAAAUAUUCCAUGCUAUUACCAACAGUAAGACUGAUGGAGCCAUCAGAGAUUGGGCUGUGGAUAUAGCUCAGCACUCCACGACAGCCACGUGGCUCAAGGUUAAAUCCUGGUACAAUGAGACAGGAGCAGGGUUAGAAAUUAUUUGAGAACUUGCAACAAAGAAGCCACAAAAGAAAUAGCCUGGGAAGCUACACUUGGCCCUUGGUCACCUUAAAGAAAGAGACAGUGGUGGCACAGCUUUGUCCAUGGUAAAGCCUGUGGUGCUGGUGGCUCAUGGUGUUUUCUCUCUGGAAAAAAAUGCCCUUGACUCCAGAGGCUCCCAGAUACGUCCCCACUGUUCUCAUCAAGGGCCCACUCAACAAGAGGGAAACCACACUAGGAAAUGGACCCUGAUCCAGCCGCCCAAGAUCAAUAUAGUCCUCUGCCCUUAUCAAGGAAACUUCUCUCUGCAACCGAUGGAGACUAUUGGAGAAAGCUACAACUAAUCAAAAUGCAGAGUUGUGGAGUCCAGUCCCAAUGGAUACAUCUACAAAAUACUGUGGCAUCUAAAACUUAGGAUCAUUGUGAAAGGGGGUAGAGAGGUUUGUAGGAGCCAAAGGAACUGGGAGUUCUCUGGGAGAUCAUGUCUCCUAGUGAUGUCAGAGGCUCAGAGUCAACAUGGCUACCCAAGCCGGAGCUGAAAAGGAGGACUCAGCCCUACACAAGGAACUACAGGCAACUAAGGAAUACUGAGAGUGGGAGAAAUGGUCUCCAGGGAAGAGCCAUCAAACACCAAAUGAUCAGCCGAGAAAACAUAACUACAAGGAACAUUCUACAGAACGACGCAAUUAUAUUUAGGAUAAAUAGAUAUGGGAGGAUAUGAAAGGGUUGAGGAAGGAAAAGGGUGAAAUGUUAUAAUUUAUAUUAUUACCCUAAAAAUAAGAUACAUUUUAAAAGUAUAAAAAUGACAAUAAAGAUUAUUUAUGAAUAGAAGCAUGUAAUCACUG
ensembl:processed_transcript Gm16725 predicted gene, 16725